rnacentral:rRNA from 1 species
GCGAGCCAUUGUAGCAUACAAGGCGGACGGCUCAGUAACACGUAGUCAACCUAACCUAUGGACGUGGAUAACCUCGGGAAACUGAGAAUAAACCAUGAUAGAUCAUAGUGCCUGGAAUGGCUUAUGGUUCAAACAAUUUAUUGCCAUAGGAUGGGACUGCGGCCUAUCAGCUUGUUGGUGAGGUAAUGGCCCACCAAGGCUAUAACAGGUACGGGCUCUGAGAGGAGAAGCCCGGAGAUGGGUACUGAGACACGGACCCAGGCCCUAUGGGGCGCAGCAGGCGAGAAACCUUAGCAAUGUGCGAAAGCACGACUAGGUUAAUCCGAGUGGUUCCUGCUAAAGGAACCUUUUGUCAGUCGUAAAACCACAGACGAAUAAGGGGUGGGCAAGUCUGGUGUCAGCCGCCGCGGUAAUACCAGCACCUCGAGUGGUCAGGAGGUUUAUUGGGCCUAAAGCAUCCGUAGCCGGCUUUGCAAGUCUCCGGUUAAAUCCAACUGCUUAACAGAUGGGCUGCCGGAGAUACCACAAAGCUAGGGAGCGGGAGAGGUAGACGGUACUCGGUGGGUAGGGGUAAAAUCCACUGAUCCAUCGAAGACCACCAGUGGCGAAGGCGGUCUACCAGAACGCGUUCGACGGUGAGGGAUGAAAGCUGGGGGAGCAAACCGGAUUAGAUACCCGGGUAGUCCCAGCUGUAAACGAUGCAAACUCGGUGGAUGCGUUGGCUUAUGGCCAACGCAG